UAGGCCGCGGCAACGAGCGGCGGAGGUGGUUCCAGGCGGUGGAAGGGCCGAUGAGGAGGGAGCGGGGAGGAGGGAGAAAAUGGAGAGGAAGGUUUUGUUGGGGGAGAGAGGGAGAGAGAGCGAGAGUAGAAAAAUCUGAGAAGAAUGGAAGAGAGAGGGAAGAAUGGAAGACGAUAAGGGAGAGUAGAAAAAAAAAAGUUUGAGAAAAGGCAUGGACAGAGAAAUGGGAUGAUCGUGCGCAGG
rnacentral:lncRNA from 1 species